GUUGUUCUAGCUAAUUGAAGAAAUAAAAGUUCAGGUUGACUUUCCUCAAUUUUGUUAUCUCAUACCCUAGAGUCGAUGUAUAUGUUAUCGUUAUCCUGCAUUUCCCUCUUGUGAUUUAUCACAAGUUACCGCUGCCGAAUGAUAAUCGCGUUAUUUGCUUUCAUUUUUUUCAUACCACCAGCGAAUUACCGACGCCUGCAGAUAUUGAAGUAUCAUCAGCUGAUUAAUCGGAAAGUUUUUGUAGGCAACGAUUAAUAAACUAUUGGCACGUUAAAACAUGAUGCGACAAUCACGUGUCUGUAAAAUAAUCCGCAACAGGUGUUUGCUCUUUCUAUUAAACGUUAUACAAAUACGUGCGAAUACGUGUUCAUAUUUCAUCGUAACCCGGUGAAGAAAAAUGAAGAAAGCCGAGAGUUUUUAUUUCCAUCUGAAAUAAUCAUAUGUCAACACGCGCGAUUGGAAUCAAUCAGAUGCUACAGCUCUUCGAAUAUUAUUUUUAAUUUUGGCAAACGGGACUGUGUCGUGUCCAUGCAAUGUCCAUCGAUAUCGUCGAUUGCAUUUAAAAUUUGAUAUCACCUGUCGUUCUACUCUUUUUUUACAUUGUGUACUCUUUGCGUGUAUACUUUUUGCACAAUCAAUACGCGUGAUCGUAACAUAUAAGGAGAAUGCAUGGAAAAACAUCUGUUUGGACACAACGGUGUGUAUGUUGUCCGUGAAGUGCCGAUAGUUCUCUCGUUCGGUUCUUUAUACUUCCGUCGGAGAGAGGAUUUAAAUGAUGGAAUGCCAAUAUAGGUUAAAUACUUAUAUUUAACAAUUGAUGACUGAUGUGACUGAUGCUGUGUACUGUAUGAUUGCUCUAUGAGAUGAGUUAAUAUCACGACUGCGUACCUGUGCUCUUACAUAGGCGGUAGUAUCACUCCUUACAUAUCUCGGGCAAAAGUGUCUCCUUAGAGGCUCUUUCCUUUGUUUUGCUCAUGCCGAUCUUUUCCAUAUCCCAGUCCCUUCGUCAAUGCAGGAGAAAGUGCAAUUAGAAGGGACGACAGGGAAAUUGGAAAAGUCGGCAUGGUUAUUGACCGUCAAUAAAAUCCCUUGCUAGAUGUUGGAGUGAGUUAUGGCUGUCGUAACUAUCGUUUACCUGUCCGAAUAGCAUGUUCUGUUCCAGAACAACAUCUUGAUACAUUGCCUUAACAUAGAUAUUUAAAUGGUUGAUGUCAGACAUGUAACAAAAAGAAUGUCACGAACACCUUGAAUUUCAUGAGAUUUUAAAAGCAAAGCAUAUUUAUAGCUUCUUUCUUUAUAAUCUAUGAAAUAUAAAUAACUUAUAUUUAUACAUAAAUUGACACUGAUGAAUAUAAA